UACGUAGGGUGCGAGCGUUGUCCGGAAUUAUUGGGCGUAAAGAGCGUGUAGGCGGCCAGGUAGGUCCGCUGUGAAAGUCCGAGGCUCAACCUCGGAAUGUCGGCGGAAACCCUCUGGCUAGAGUCCGGAAGAGGAGAGUGGAAUUCCCGGUGUAGAGGUGAAAUUCGUAGAUAUUGGGUGGAACACCGGUGGCGAAAGCGGCUCUCUGGUCCGAACCUGACGCUGAGGCGCGAAAGCGUGGGGAGCAAACAGG
rnacentral:rRNA from 1 species